AAAAUAUUGCUCCUGGGAAGUUGUGUCACAUUUCCUUUCUUAGGAGCAACAACAAACAGAAGCAAGUUAAAAAUAAUUAUGGAGAAUUUAUCAACAAUUGACAAGUUUCUACUAAGAAAUAUUUCAGGAAACACAUAUAAGGGAGAAUUUUACUUUCUGAUCUUCCAAAUUCUGCUUAUAAUUGCAGUUCUGAUUGCUUAAUGUCCACUGGCCCAAGUUUUACUUGAGGUUUCGAUUGUUGGUCUACGGUGAGCCAUGGUUGUGUUGACUGUGCCUGGAUUGUGAACUUCAACAUUGUGAAACCUUCGGCCAAAAUACUAGAAAUAGGGGAACCCAUCGGUGUAUCAUCAUCCUGCUGCCACCAAGUGUUGAAUUCAAAAUAAUUUUGGUUAACGGUUACUGCAAGAAGGUCAUAUAUCUCUCUUUGUAAUUCUUCAUCCCAUGGUUGUAAUUUAGUUUUUAUAAGUUCUAAUGUUUUUAUUAUUGUAAUGUUGGUAUAUAAAUUAGAAAUGUUGAGCGUUAUGAGCGUUUUGAUUUUUUAACAAACAAAUAAAACAAAUCAAUAUACGCAGAGCAAGAAGUGCAACAGAUUUUAAUUGACAGACCUGAUGAUGAUGAGAUAACAUCGAAACAUGUCGUCAAAUGUAAAAUGUAACAAGAU